CUUAUACUCACCUCUAGAAAAUCUUAGGGUGAAUUUUUAAUAGGCAGGCAGCCAGCCCUCAUUUUCGGCACAUCAAAUUUUUGAGCAUUUCACAUAGUUGAAAAGGUGAAAAUAGGCCAACCGGAGAACCGAACACCUAAAAAAAGUUUGUAACGCGCUUUAUUGCAAACCUCUGGGAUGGUGUGGAAAAUGCAAAACUUAAAUAUUCAAAAAUAGUAUACGGAUGAGAAUUAGAACGAUGUAUUAAAAAUUCAGCUUCAAAUGCCUAAAUAUCUUCUUUCCAAAUUAAAAUUAUUGGUAAUAAUAUUUCAAAAACUUACGAAUACAAACCGUUUUAUGUUUUCUGUCUGUCAAUUGAAAACAAAUACAUUCAGAAGAAAACUCACCACCGAGAAAUCUAAGAACAGGGCUGCUUUUUAUUAAUAAGAACUCACUACAUAAAGAAUAUCUGACUAUCAGUAAAUGAUAUUUUUAUGGGCGAAACAUGACACACUAUGGCGUUUAAAUCAAAUAUUAGUAAAUAUAUGUCAUUAAUAAAUAAUUUCCUUUUAUAUUAAGCAACAAUA